GUAAAUUAUCCAUACACACACACACACACACAUUUCAUAUAUAUAUAUAUAUGUGUGUGUGUGUGUGUGUGUGUGUGUGUGUGUGUAUAU
rnacentral:miRNA from 1 species